rnacentral:rRNA from 1 species
CAGUCGCCGCGGUAAUACGGAGGGUGCAAGCGUUAAUCGGAAUUACUGGGCGUAAAGCGCACGCAGGCGGUUUGUUAAGUCAGAUGUGAAAUCCCCGAGCUUAACUUGGGAACUGCAUUUGAAACUGGCAAGCUAGAGUCUUGUAGAGGGGGGUAGAAUUCCAGGUGUAGCGGUGAAAUGCGUAGAGAUCUGGAGGAAUACCGGUGGCGAAGGCGGCCCCCUGGACAAAGACUGACGCUCAGGUGCGAAAGCGUGGGGAGCAAACAGGAUUAGAUACCCGGGUAGUCCCUGUCUCUUAUAC